rnacentral:rRNA from 1 species
GACGAACGCUGGCGGCGUGCUUAACACAUGCAAGUCGAACGGAAAGGCCCAGCUUGCUGGGUACUCGAGUGGCGAACGGGUGAGUAACACGUGGGUGAUCUGCCCUGCACUCUGGGAUAAGCCUGGGAAACUGGGUCUAAUACCGGAUAUGACCAACUGUCGCAUGGUGGUUGGUGGAAAGCUUUUGCGGUGUGGGAUGGGCCCGCGGCCUAUCAGCUUGUUGGUGGGGUAAUGGCCUACCAAGGCGACGACGGGUAGCCGACCUGAGAGGGUGAUCGGCCACACUGGGACUGAGACACGGCCCAGACUCGUACGGGAGGCAGCAGUGGGGAAUAUUGCACAAUGGGCGCAAGCCUGAUGCAGCGACGCCGCGUGAGGGAUGACGGCCUUCGGGUUGUAAACCUCUUUCACCAGGGACGAAGCGUGAGUGACGGUACCUGGAGAAGAAGCACCGGCCAACUACGUGCCAGCCGCCGCGGUAACAC